CAAUAGCGUAUAUUAAAGUUGUUGCGGUUAAAAAGCUCGUAGUUGGAUUUCUGUUGAGGAUGGCCGGUCCGUACUUUGUGCGUGUAUCUGGUUCAGCCUUGGCAUCCUCUUGGGGAACGUUUCUGUGUUUCAUUACAUGGGGCGGUAUUCAAGACUUUUACUUUGAGGAAAUUAGAGUGUUCACGGCAGGCAUUCGCCUUGAAUACAUUAGCAUGGAAUAAUAAUAUAGGACCUUGGUACUAUUUUGUUGGUUUCUAGAACUAAGGUAAUGAUUAAUAGGGAUAAUUGGGGGCGAUUCGUAUUAACGCGUCAGAGGUGGAAUUCUUGGAUUGCGUUACGACGAACUACUGCGAAAGCAUUUGCCAAGGAUGUUUUCAUUGAUCAAGAACGAAAGUUAGGGGAUCGAAGACGAUCAGAU
rnacentral:rRNA from 1 species